GUAUUUUGAAUUAUUUUAUUCAUAAUAUUUUUCAGACAAAGAGUUAAAAAAUUAGGUUGAUGUUUGGCCGAUCUCCAUAAAGAAGACCGACUGACAUUGCACACAAGGUGGAUAUGGAUUUUUAAAGAGUGCCAUAAAACACUCAUUGUGAAUGAUCCUUCCGCAGGUUCACCUACGGAAA
rnacentral:misc_RNA from 1 species